CCCGUCUAGGCUGCGUCUGACGACCACAUAUUUACACAGAAGCGACACGACGGAGUGUUUUUCACGACUCCCGACCCACCGAGAGAAGGGUCGAGGACCCAGAAGUCCAGAGUUUUACAAUCUGUAAAGAGUUAGGAGGCGGCGGAGAAGAGGGUUUACAAAUGGUUCUGGGCACGCUUCCCACAACGGCGGGAAUUCCAUCCUGCUUCAUCAAUCUGGAGAUGUUUACCUACAAAAUGUGGAACCGUGAUGCUGUGUCUACGUGUCUGCUCGUGCACGUGCGGGUGCACAUGUGUGUGUGUGUGUGGUCAAAGGAGACUCUCGGCUCUCGUGACUCUGGCUGGGGAGAGGAUCAGGGAGUUGGAGGGGGGAAGAUGGUAUCAGGCCCUGAUUGGUUAUGAUGACAUCCAGAUAAUAGCAGAAACACACACACACACACACACAUUACAUGCACAUGCACACGCAUCUCUUCAGCUCAGAGCCCACCACUAGUGGCCUCUCACAAUCACACACGCGUGCACGCAAACACACAAAAACACAGACACACACACCAGAGCCUGAAAAUUACCGCUUAGCAUGCGAGCAUUGAGCAGAUGGGUUUCCUAAUGACUGUUGUGUACAGUGCAGAGGGAGUGUGCAACGUUCCCAUUACACUUCUCCCUUACAACUCACUACACCCCAAAGCACAGGUCUGGCUUCCAUUUACUUUACGUCUUAACUGGCACUAGCUUGACACAUGCAGGUUGCAGGUGGUCAGUUAAAAGAAAAAUAAAAAGAAUACAUUUUGGAGACUGCUUCGCACUUGCUGUUUUCUUUUUUGGGAGAGACGGAUUUGUUCAACUCGUUGCUCGUUUAUGGAAUUAAAGAAUUUAAUAAAGUACCGUUAACCACC